rnacentral:miRNA from 1 species
AGGGGCCACCGUCGCUCCCGCGCU